UCCCUCUCAGGGUCAGAGCUGGAGAGUUUUCAGGACUCUACCGGUUUCCGCUACAGGAGGGAGAGUCAAGCAGAGGCCUACCCAUUCCAUUCCUAGGUUGGCCAGUGACUAGCCAAUGGAAGGCAAUCUGCUACUGAU